UUUCUGGACAAAUGCAAUCUUAAGAAAAUGGAGAAAUUUAUGAAAAUAAUUAUAUGAAGUCAUUACUAGUCAUAGAUGGUUGAUUUGGUGUUCUAGGAAAGGAUCAUGUUGCCUUUUUCAUUCAGACCUAUGGUGAUGUCAGAGUUUCUUUGGGAAUGAUUGUGGGUAAGUAAUGGUAUUUAGAAACCUUCUUUCUCAUUUCUGCUAUUGUCUGUGAAUUCAACAUUAGAUGCUUGCUUCUUUUGCAUUCUGUGGAGAGCAAGGGGAGAUCCCUAAUGCUUGGUGUAAAGGAUGUUCACAGGUUCAGAUUUUGAUGAAACUGUAUAAUGUACUUUCAACAGUUUCAUCCAGUCAGGGCUGACCUACAGUGACCCUGGGUGGGGUGUCCUCUGCACAAAGCAGCCGAGCAUCUGUCAAGGAAAGAUGAAGAUAACCACAGGCCCAGUGAAUAAUCAACUAAUUUUCUGUACUGCUGCUGAUAAAACCAGAUGUUGAGAAACAAGAUUGUCAGGGAUUUUAUGACAUUUUGACAAAGUGCAGAAUACAACCCAGAAAUGUCUGUACAGCCUGGUGUCAAAGCAAGAAAAAAGGCUUAGCUCCCAGCAGAAGACAAAAGGGUGGAGUUAAUUCAUAAAUGAAUUGCCCAGAAGUGAAGUUUGUACUGAAAUUCACUGUCUGAGCUGAGGAUUUAAAGCACAUUCUACAGUAACAAAGAAACAGGUAUGACAGCAACCAGUCUGGAGAAUUACUGUGCUUCUUGAUUUUGAAGGCUCUUCAUGGCAAUAUGCAGCAAGAAAUGUGGGGAAAAAAUUGUAAAAAUUGAACUGGUAGUAGAUACUUAAAGAUUCAGGGAGAAAAAAAAGGAGGAAUGGGAAGGUGUUUCAGACAGGAUGUUUUUUGGUAGGCCUGUCAUGAUGUUAAGAGGUCACAGAAAUCUAGAAGUAUAAUGAUCUCACCAUUGUGUUGCUGGCUGGAAUGCGAGGCAUGCAGGUCUCUCUGUUUCUGAAUGAUUAAUUCUUAUUCUUUUGAUCAGCUGGAUAUCUCUAGUAUAUGAUUCAAUUUGCCAUAGGGUAAUGGUAGAAGUAAUAAAUGUAUCUAUAAAUAUUUCUCA
rnacentral:lncRNA from 1 species